UCCUGGUGUCUCAGGCGUGGAGGAACCACACCAAUCCAUCCCGAACUUGGUGGUGAAACUCUAUUGCGGUGACGAUACUGUAGGGGAAGCCCGAUGGGAAAAUAGCUCGACGUCAGGAU
rnacentral:rRNA from 1 species